GUCCAGACUCCUACGGGAGGCAGCAGUGAGGAAUAUUGGUCAAUGGUCGGGAGACUGAACCAGCCAAGCCGCGUGAGGGAUGAAGGUACAGAGUAUCGUAAACCUCUUUUGUCAGGGAACAAAGGCGGGGACGCGUCCCCGGAUGAGUGUACCUGAAGAAAAAGCAUCGGCUAACUCCGUGCCAGCAGCCGCGGUAAUACGGAGGAUGCGAGCGUUAUCCGGAUUUAUUGGGUUUAAAGGGUGCGUAGGCGGACGCUUAAGGCGGGGGUAAAAUGGGGGGGCUCAACCCCGUCGAGCCGUUGAAACUGGGUGCCUUGAGUGGGCGAGAAGUACGCGGAAUGCGUGGUGUAGCGGUGAAAUGCAUAGAUAUCACGAAGAACCCCGAUUGCGAAGGCAGCCUGCCGCAGCGUUACUGACGCUGAAGCUCGAAAGCGCGGGUAUCGAACAGGAUUAGAUACCCGGGGUAUC
rnacentral:rRNA from 1 species